rnacentral:rRNA from 1 species
GAUGAACGCUGGCGGCGUGCCUAAUACAUGCAAGUCGAGCGAAUAGACGAUGAGCUUGGUCCUCUGACGUGAGCGACGAAGGGGUGCGUAACGGUUGGAAAACCGAGCUUAAAGAGUGGGAUAACGUGGGGAAACCGGAGCUAAUACCGGAUAAUAUAUUAUACCUCAUGGUUCAGUAGGGAAAGACGGUUUUACGGGCACUUAUAUCACGGUCCGCGGCGCAUUAGCUAGUUGGUAAGGUAACGGCUUACCAAGGCGACGAUGAGUAGCCGACCUGAGAGGGUGAUCGGCCACACGGGAACUGAGACACGGCCCAGACUCCUACGGGAGGCAGCAGUAGGGAAUCUUCCGCAAGGGGCGAAAGCCUGACGGAGCAACGCCGCGUGAGUGAUGAAGUUCUUCGGAUCUUAAAACUCUGUUAUUAGGGAGGAAAAAAUGUGUAAGUAACUAUGCACGUCUUGACGGUACCUAAUCAGAAAGCCACGGCUAACUACGUG